CUCCACGUCAAGGUUGCUGGAG
rnacentral:siRNA from 1 species